GCUAAUUCUAAGACAAUGGAGAGGCUUAUGGCCGGAUUUUUACUUUAGCAUUCGACUCUUUGACUUGGUGAAACUAAUAUGAAGAACCUCCUUAAGAAGUUCCACAUCAUGUCCAGUGGUCAGUCUGACGAUGCAGCUGAAGGGUCUACUUCAUCGAGGAGCAGUAAAUUAAUGGAGGUGUCUUCGCCUGAUAAGCUGCCGUCUCG
rnacentral:misc_RNA from 1 species